GUCAUUGGAAAUUGCAUGAAAAGAAUUGGAAUCCCUGUUUGAGACACCAAGGCGUAGAACAUCUGCCAUUGAAG
ensembl:ncRNA T10C6.20 ncRNA